rnacentral:misc_RNA from 1 species
AACGCAAAUUGCGCUCGAGGCUUCGGCCGAGAGCAUGCCUGCCUCAGUGUCGGUUUCACCCUCGCCCACCCUUUCUAUUCUUUCACGAGAACACAGAGAGGGGAGCGGAUCUGGCCGUCCCGGUCUCACGACCGGGUCUGCUGAAGCGCAGAGGCUUGAGCGGGAUCCCUAUAGAUGUGGGAACAACAGACCGGUAGGUGAGCCCUUCUCUCCGGAGAAGGAUCGCAUGCCGCUGCUGGACCCCGGGACCCGCUGGACGCCCAGCAGGAGACGGUGUGACCGGUCCUCGCGGACCGGAAGCACCGCAUCACUCAACCAUUCGACCUGAGUUCAGGCAAGGGCACCCGCUGAACUUAA